rnacentral:rRNA from 1 species
CCUACGGGAGGCAGCAGUGGGGAAUAUUGCACAAUGGGCGCAAGCCUGAUGCAGCGACGCCGCGUGAGGGAUGACGGCCUUCGGGUUGUAAACCUCUUUCACCAGGGACGAAGCGCGAGUGACGGUACCUGGAGAAGAAGCACCGGCCAACUACGUGCCAGCAGCCGCGGUAAUACGUAGGGUGCGAGCGUUGUCCGGAAUUACUGGGCGUAAAGAGCUCGUAGGCGGUUUGUCGCGUCGUCUGUGAAAUUCUGCAACUCAAUUGUAGGCGUGCAGGCGAUACGGGCAGACUUGAGUACUACAGGGGAGACUGGAAUUCCUGGUGUAGCGGUGAAAUGCGCAGAUAUCAGGAGGAACACCGGUGGCGAAGGCGGGUCUCUGGGUAGUAACUGACGCUGAGGAGCGAAAGCGUGGGUAGCGAACAGGAUUAGAUACCCUGGUAGUCCACGCCGUAAACGGUGGGUACUAGGUGUGGGUUCCUUUUCACGGGAUCCGUGCCGUAGCUAACGCAUUAAGUACCCCGCCUGGGGAGUACGGCCGCAAGGCUAAAACUCAAAUGAAUUGACGG